GACUGAGAGCACAGCUCACAAUUACAGCAGACUCUGAAACCUGUCAGUCAAGCAGCUGAGCUGGUAAUAUCAAACAAAACAGCAGAUUUACACCUGGGAAAAGAAGCUAUAAUAAUCUAUUUUAGCUGCCCCAUGGGAGCCUGAAGCCAUUAGUCUGAAUUAUCAUUCUGAAUGCAAACUGCACAAGCUAACUGUGACCUGGCAUGUUUUCCCGUAGCCCUUUCUGAAGGGUAAUUAAAAGUAAAAAAACUGUUUCUGCGUGGACACCUGGGUGAUCCAAGAUUUAAUCUGUUAGCAGAAAUUAAAUCCCAGGCUAUUCAAUGUGUAUAAACAUACCAGCUGUGAAGGAAACACACCUCCCCUGCAGGAAAGCUGCACAAUGCCUAGAAGAGCAGCUGACUCCAGGUUUGAGGAUCACAGCACCACACUGACCUGCGCAAAGCCAGCACAAAGGAGGGUAUGGAAGAAGCUUGUCACUGGUGGCCCCCAAGACCACCACCCAGGGAUGCAGAGCCAGAGCAGCAGAAAUGGCUGGAAGCUGAGGUGCCCCCCCUUCUCAGCACCUUAGGAGGAGGAAGGUCACCUCCUUCCUUAGCACUGGGCUGGGCACACGGCCAUGCCAGGACAGCGCCCUAAUGCCCGACUGCACAUGCCUGAGCACGAGGCUUGCAGCAGUACCGCAAUGUUUCUGGCGGACAAUAACAGCAACAGGUUGGAGCUGGUUCAUGAUCUACCUCCAGUCACACAAGAAACCCGGCAUCCAACUGGAUUCGAGAAACAGGAGUGGGCACUCCAUUAACCUGUCUUAGAAAUUUCUCAGAGGGAUCACCCACAGAAGUCUCUGUCUGAAGCUUCUAAGUCUGAGAGAAUGUGCUGUUGUAUACUUUUUCAGAGAUAAAACAGAACAUUUGUUUCCUUGCCGUAUAUGGACUCAUGUUAAAAAUACCAGAGAAAAAUAAGUUAGCGGGUUACGCUGCUGAGAGCACAAUGCAACAUUAUCAGAGGGCAUUAUGUAGCUUUAGGGCUUGUCAAUGGUAUUAUAUGAUCCAGCAUCAGAGGAUUUAUAUUAUAUUCUCCCUUUGUUUGAAAAUGAAGGUUUCUCUCUGAUUUAUUGAUUUUGUUUGUGCAAGUGGAAGGCAUCUUGUGGGUAGUCUCCAACAGAGGAUGUUACAGCUCUAAUUAGAUCAUCAUCGCCUGGAAAA